ACAACAACGUUCGGACCGCCGGUCUACCGAGCAAUAUCACCCGCUCGGUGGAAGAUCUUCCCUUUCGUCGUUAAGA
rnacentral:pre_miRNA from 1 species